rnacentral:rRNA from 1 species
AUUGAACGCUGGCGGCAUGCCUUACACAUGCAAGUCGAACGGCAGCACGGGAGCAAUCCUGGUGGCGAGUGGCGAACGGGUGAGUAAUAUAUCGGAACGUGCCCGGUCGUGGGGGAUAACGUAGCGAAAGCUACGCUAAUACCGCAUACGAUCUACGGAUGAAAGCGGGGGAUCGCAAGACCUCGCGCGAUUGGAGCGGCCGAUAUCAGAUUAGGUAGUUGGUGAGGUAAAGGCUCACCAAGCCGACGAUCUGUAGCUGGUCUGAGAGGACGACCAGCCACACUGGGACUGAGACACGGCCCAGACUCCUACGGGAGGCAGCAGUGGGGAAUUUUGGACAAUGGGCGCAAGCCUGAUCCAGCAAUGCCGCGUGCAGGAUGAAGGCCUUCGGUGUAACUGCUUUGUACGGUACG